rnacentral:misc_RNA from 1 species
GGCGGUUUAUACAGGACUGGAAUCAAUAAAGAAAAGCGUGGCACCAUUAACUUUCCUUUUUCCCACUACUAUACAUGCACAACCAGAUCCUCAACGCAAGGGAAACUAGUUUUGCGUUGCGAGGAGAGACUUGAGGAAGAGCAUACAGCUUCCCCUCUCUCUCUUUGCAGACUGAGCUCCACAAUCAAACCUUGAAAAUC